AGUCAUACGGUGCGAAGUGUCUUGGUGAUGUUCUCCGACAGAAGAUCAGCUCCGAUUUUGCUGGGGUGCAGGCCAUCAGCACGGAAGAGCCUAGGUCGCUCCCAGAAAAGAUUCCAAUUAUUUAUAAAGAGCAGCUUCUGUUCAGUACACCAAGACAUUAACCAUUCAUUUAAAGCAAAUAAUCUACUGAACCUUUCAUGUCCACGUCGGUACGUCGGAAGCGGUCCGGACACGAUGAUCCUCGUCGCGGGCGAUGUGGCUCGUACCGUCUCGAUCAGACUCCUGAAGUCCUGCUUCAGCACCUCCGUCUGCCGCAGCCUGGUGUCGUUCACCCCCACGUGCAGAACAACAGCUCCGAUGCUCUCAGCGCCAUUCAGGAUCGCUGGAACCUGCGCAGAGACAUCGAGGACACGAGCACCAGGAAAACAGUGACUGCGCACCUUACCUUUGGUUGUGGUAGCGUGGACGUGACGGACGAUGGAGUCUCCGAUGACCACGGCGCCUCGUUCUGCUUCGCGAAGACCUCGAAGACCGGGGGCGGCGGAGGGGGAGAGGUCCUGGUCCGAGGCCUGGCUCGCGCCUUCCGUUGCUGAAGAACCCAAGGUCCCUGGUGUGACGGCGCCGGAGUAAACGAGGGCUGGGAUGAACGCGUUCUGGGUUCUCGGGCCCUGUGCAGAGAAGUACACGGCGUAGAGGAAGCAGGAGUGUUAAUAUCGCGCUGCAAACUUACCGAGGAUUGGUGAGCGUCAGCACGGGAUGUUUCCAGCGCUGUUCGCCGCUCCCGUAGCUCGGCCUGUUUCUCCAGAAGGGUCCGGAUCUGUCGUUCCACGGCCUCCAGCUCCAACUGCACCGCAUGCAGCUCGAACGUGUCCUCACCUGCACUCAAAAGUAGAGACACAUCCGAUACACUCGCCAUUAGUAUAGAUGAACAAUAAUAUUGUGAGUGAGAAGAGUACAAACGCUAGUGUGACCACGCCGCUAUUGCUAACGGGCUAAAGCUAGUAGCGAAUGUUCGAGAAGUCGGAUAAAACUAGCGAUAUCAAGGCAAUCCGAGUGUUUUUUAUAUAAAAUAGUGUCGGGGAUGUGUUCCCCCGCCGUAAAAGAGAGAAUGGUAGGUUAUAAAUUUGAUUUUAAGAAAAAAACAAGCAAUUAGGAAUCAACUCGACGGAGCUCUAACUCAAACAGCGCGGCAGCAACAAACAAGAAGUGACGAUAUGUGGCUUGGAAUUAGCCCGCUCACAUAUCUCACAGCUAGUAGUCGCUAUCAGGCAAUCCGAGUGUUUUUUAUAUAAAAUAGUGUCAGGGAUGUGUUCCCCCGCCGUAAAAGAGAGAAUGGUAGGUUAUAAAUUUGAUUUUAAGAAAAAAAACAAGCAAUUAGGAAUCAACUCGACGGAGCUCUAACUCAAACAGCGCGGCAGCAACAAACAGGAAGUGACGAAUGAUCAUGAUUUUUUUUUUUUUUUUUUUUUUUUUUUUUAGUAGUAGUAGAAAUAGUAAAUUAUAAUAGUAGUAUUUGCACAACUAAUUAAUUGACCUGGCAAACAACUAUCGACCACUAAUAAACCUGCUGAAAACCCUGCUGGUUAAGGUAGGUUUUGGAGCUGGUAUGCUGGUGUAUGGCAUAAAACCAGCAGAGGACCAGCAUAAACCAGCUCCAAAACCUACCUUAACCAGCAUAUGCUGUUUUUUUCAGCAGGGAAUGCUGUAAAAAUGUUUCUCCCCUUAGGACCUAAAGCUUUUCAAUGAUGUUUGAUGACUGAAGACACUUUACAAUACAUGAUGUCUUACAACAAGUGAAGGCUGAAAAAAAGGAGGCCUCAAAGUUUGUAUUUGCUGUUUCUGCAAAACUGGCUCCGUUUGUGCUCCUGAUCAGCUUCGGGCAUUGCUCAUGGUGGAAAUCCCUGAGUUCGUCAGAGUGUCAAUUUAAUGAAUAAGGACAUACUUUUUGCAUUAGAAGAGUAGCUUCAAUCCUUGAAAAGCUUCAAGUCCUGAGCAGUGAACUGUGGUAGUGUUUCAGUCUGUAGUACUGUGUUUCUGUCUUCAUUUCCAUGUGUAUUUACUUCCAUUUAUGUUGUCACAGUUUUCCAGGCUCUUUUCCCAAUGACUAAAAUGCAUGUUUGAGCUGUUUUAACUGAAAGUAACUGACAUCUUACAAUUUGUCUGUGCUAUUGUUUUGUCUCAAGAUGAAUGCCAAUAAUGUUGUUGUUGUUGUUUUUUAACCCCUUUCACAGACAAGGCUUAAAUCUAGUCCCAGACUAAAAUGUAUGUCUGAGCUGUUUUAACUGAAAACAUAUCUUAGCCAUUGUUUUGUCUUUAGAAAAACCCCAGUAAUGAUUGUUUUUUCUAAGGCAUGUUUAUAAAAGCUACUGAAAUAAUUGAACUAAGGUCUGAUCCUGGCUUAGCCUAAGCCCUGUCUGUGAAACCAGGUCUAUUUGUUUUUGUCACCAUGAAAUGCCAUUUUUCCAGCCACUUGUUUUUCCUGAAUGUGAUGUUAAUUCCUGUUCAAACAGUGUGUGGUUAUAAAUGAAUACAUUUGUAUGUAAACUGAAGGAAGUUGUAAAUUGUUCAUUAAAACCAUAUUAACUCCA